AGUGAACGCUGGCGGCGUGCCUAAUACAUGCAAGUCGAACGGAGUGGCGCACGGGUGAGUAAUAGAGAGCUAAUCUGCCCCUUGCUGGAGGAUAACAGUGAGAAAUGACUGCUAAUACUCCAUAGCAAGGUAUGAGACUAGAUCGUAUCAGCUAGUCGGUGGGGUAACGGCCUACCGAGGCUAUGACGCGUAACUGGUAUGAGAGGAUGAACAGUCACAUUGGAAAUGAGACACGGUCCAGACUCGUACGGAAGGCAGCAGUAGGGCAUAGUGCGCAAUGGGAGAAACCCUGACGGAGCAACGCCGAGGGGGAGAUGACACUUUUCGGAGCGUAAACUCAUUUUGUUAGGGAAGCGGUACCUAACGAAUAAGCACCGGCUAACUCCGUGCCAGCAGCCGCGGUAAUAC
rnacentral:rRNA from 1 species